GUGCCAGCAGCCGCGGUAACACGUAGGAGGCGAGCGUUAUUCGGAUUUACUGGGCGUAAAGCGCGUGUAGGCGGCUCUAUAAGUUGGAUGUGAAAGCUCCCGGCUUAACUGGGAGAGGACGUUCAAAACUAUAGAGCUUGAGUACGAGAGAGGAAAAUGGAAUUCCGGGUGUAGUGGUGAAAUGCGUAGAUGUCCGGAGGGACACCAGUGGCGAAGGCGAUUUUCUGGCUCGAGACUGACGCUCAGACGCGAAAGCUAGGGUAGCAAACAGGAUUAGAUACCCUGGUAGUCCACGGCUGUA
rnacentral:rRNA from 1 species